rnacentral:lncRNA from 1 species
GUGAAAUCACAUUUGGUUUUAGCCAGUCAGCAGGUUGUGAGAAGCUUUCAGUGCAUCACUUGCCUAUUUAGCAAAGACAGCUGCUGUUAUAAAGCUGAGUUGUUGGAGAUCCAGACGUUUGGAGGCAGACCUUCCUAAACUGGACAGUCCUACAGCAAGAGCUUCAGUGCAGCCAGCAGCGUGGACAGAAGAGAAAGAGAGAGGAUGAGGAGGACAGUUCGCACACACCGUCCUUCAGAGUGAGGUGCCGCUGUAGUGGAGUCAUUGCCUGCUCUUAUACCUCUCAGAGAGAGUCGUAUCAUUGGGAUGGCCAUCAAAGAUCUUGGGUGGAAGGUGGACCUAAGUGAGCCUGUUCUUGAGGCAUCCUCUGGCCAGUCGAACUUAUAUGAAACACAAUGGGUUACGUUCUACGAUAGCCUGGGCCAUGAGCUCUCUUUGUCCUAAAAAGGUGAGGUCUAGAAUAGCUUUUAAAGAGGCAAAUG